rnacentral:piRNA from 1 species
UAGAGGCUAUGGUACCGUUUCUGGAC